CCUACGGGAGGCAGCAGUGAGGAAUAUUGGUCAAUGGGCGAGAGCCUGAACCAGCCAAGUCGCGUGAGGGAGUACUGCCCUAUGGGUUGUAAACCUCUUUUGUCGGGGAGCAAAAGCCGGACGUGUCCGGCUGUGAGAGUACCCGAAGAAAAAGCAUCGGCUAACUCCGUGCCAGCAGCCGCGGUAAUACGGAGGAUGCGAGCGUUAUCCGGAGUUAUUGGGUUUAAAGGGGGCGCAGGCGGAUUUUUAAGUCAGCGGUAAAAUCGUGGGGCUCAACCCCAUCCAGCCGUUGAAACUGGGGAUCUAGAGUGUGCGAGAGGUAUGCGGAAUGCGUGGUGUAGCGGUGAAAUGCAUAGAUAUCACGCAGAACCCCGAUUGCGAAGGCAGCAUACCGGUGCACAACUGACGCUCAGGCACGAAAGCGUGGGUAUCGAACAGGAUUAGAUACCCGGGUAGUC
rnacentral:rRNA from 1 species